rfam:Populus trichocarpa scaffold_15_contig_39, whole genome shotgun sequence.
UUUAGAACUUCAGAUAUAGGCUGAAACUAAACAGUGUCUAAGCUACAAAGCAGAUUCAUACUUGUCUUUUGUUGCUAAAAUUUGAAUUUAAAAAAGGUAGUAUUGAGCCUUGGGCUUUUCAUAAAUAUUAUAUGCAGGUCUUAUCUUUCCAUC